rnacentral:lncRNA from 1 species
UUUCUAUUUGGCAUGACGAAGCUCUGCUAUCCCAACCUCCUCCUCCACUCCUGCGGCGGCUUCACUUCCGGUCCUGUGAGCACCUCAAGGCCACCGCGAAUUUGGCAACUCAACCUCAUCAGGCCUCCGGUGGGCGUUGGUCAAACUCCAAUACUCGGUAGUUGGUCUCCCCACUUGAUGGGGCAUCCAUCAUGGUGGAGCAGCAAGUGGUGCACAUCGGCGCUGUCGGCAAGGUCCGGACCGCUAUCUUCCGAUGCCACUCGUCAACUGCUUUUCCCAUAGAGCAUUCAUGGGGAUGCUGUUAGUUCAUUCCUUACAGAGAGAUCGGAUCUACCUCGGGCUUUUGGGUCUUCCUCACGUCAGCCUCUACUGCUUCUGCUUUCAACGAGCAGUCUAUUUACGCAAGAACAAGCCGAAUGACAAGAAUACUCGGCAUUAUGAUCAACCUGCUACCUUCAUUUAUCGCUGCGAAGGCCGCUCUGGUCUUCGUUGUCCCUUGACCCUUUU